UACGAAGGGGGCUAGCGUUGCUCGGAAUGGCUGGGCGUAAAGGGCGCGUAGGCGGAUGGCACAGUCAGAUGUGAAAUUCCCGGGCUUAACCUGGGGGCUGCAUUUGAUACGUGUGAUCUAGAGUGAGGAAGAGGGUCGUGGAAUUCCCAGUGUAGAGGUGAAAUUCGUAGAUAUUGGGAAGAACACCGGUGGCGAAGGCGGCGACCUGGUCCUUGACUGACGCUGAGGCGCGAAAGCGUGGGGAGCAAACAGG
rnacentral:rRNA from 1 species